ensembl:lncRNA
CAUCACUUAAGUGGGCAUUGUAUCAUCUCAGCACAAGAAGAGGGGUGAAUACACUAUUUUGAGAGACCGCAUUAACAUAACUUGUAUUACAGUAUAUUGUUCUAAUUGUCCGAUUUUAUUAUUAUUGAAUGAUAAUCUCUUACUAUGCCCAAUUUAUAAAUUAAACUUUAUCAUAGGAAAAUGGAUGAAACUGCAGAACUUCAUAUUGAGUGAAAGAAGUCAGGCUCAGAAAGUUGAAGGAUCUAAAGCACAGAUGAAAUCAUUUCCUAAUAAUACACAGACCAUGAGUAGAAGAGCAAAAAGUCAGACCUAUGGGCAUUGGCGCUUGCACUUCACUUCUUUUCUACUGUACUACACUGAAAGUUUGAAAAGGAAGUAAUCUUCUCAACAAACUCUGGAAAGUAUAGAUUAUAGAUUAAAGUUUUAGCUUUUGGCUAUGCUAUGACCUUCAUAAGAUCAGGCCAUCAACAUUUUUUGAAUUAAUUACUAUCGUUUCAAGGCAUUGCAG